GACGAACGCUGGCGGCGUGCUUAACACAUGCAAGUCGAACGGUGAAGCCCCAGCUUGCUGGGGUGGAUAAGUGGCGAACGGGUGAGUAACACGUGAGCAACCUGCCCCUGACUCUGGAAUAAGCGCUGGAAACGGCGUCUAAUACUGGAUACGAGAAGGGUCCGCAUGGGCACUUUCUGGAAAGUUUUUCGGUUGGGGAUGGGCUCGCGGCCUAUCAGCUUGUUGGUGAGGUAAUGGCUCACCAAGGCGACGACGGGUAGCCGGCCUGAGAGGGCGACCGGCCACACUGGGACUGAGACACGGCCCAGACUCCUACGGGAGGCAGCAGUGGGGAAUAUUGCACAAUGGGCGAAAGCCUGAUGCAGCGACGCCGCGUGAGGGAUGACGGCCUUCGGGUUGUAAACCUCUUUCAGCAGGGAAGAAGCGAAAGUGACGGUACCUGCAGAAGAAGCACCGGCUAACUACGUG
rnacentral:rRNA from 1 species